rnacentral:rRNA from 1 species
GAUGAACGCUAGCGGCGGGCCUAAUACAUGCAAGUCGAACGGGAUUGGAGUAGCAAUAUUCCAUGAGAGUGGCGACCGGGUGCGUAACACGUAUGCAACCUACCUAAUACUGGGGUAUAGCCUCUCGAAAGAGAGAUUAAUCCCCCAUAAUACUAUGAAGAGGCAUCUCUUUAUAUUUAAAGCUUCGGCGGUAUUAGAUGGGCAUGCGUCCUAUUAGCUAGUUGGUGAGGUAACGGCUCACCAAGGCUACGAUAGGUAGGGGGUCUGAGAGGAUGAUCCCCCACACUGGUACUGAAACACGGACCAGACUCCUACGGGAGGCAGCAGUAGGGAAUAUUGGUCAAUGGACGAAAGUCUGAACCAGCCACGCCGCGUGGGUGAUGAAGGCCUUCGGGUCGUAAAGCCCUGUCAGGUGGGAAGAAUGUCCCGGGACUGACAGGUUCCGGGAGUGACGGUAUUACCAGAGGAAGGCACCGGCUAACUCCGUGCCAGCAGCCGCGGUAAU